rnacentral:rRNA from 1 species
UUUAUGGAGAGUUUGAUCCUGGCUCAGGAUGAACGCUGGCGGCGUGCCUAAUACAUGCAAGUCGAGCGAACGGACGAGAAGCUUGCUUCUCUGAUGUUAGCGGCGGACGGGUGAGUAACACGUGGAUAACCUACCUAUAAGACUGGGAUAACUUCGGGAAACCGGAGCUAAUACCGGAUAAUAUUUUGAACCGCAUGGUUCAAAAGUGAAAGACGGUCUUGCUGUCACUUAUAGAUGGAUCCGCGCUGCAUUAGCUAGUUGGUAAGGUAACGGCUUACCAAGGCAACGAUGCAUAGCCGACCUGAGAGGGUGAUCGGCCACACUGGAACUGAGACACGGUCCAGACUCCUACGGGAGGCAGCAGUAGGGAAUCUUCCGCAAUGGGCGAAAGCCUGACGGAGCAACGCCGCGUGAGUGAUGAAGGUCUUCGGAUCGUAAAACUCUGUUAUUAGGGAAGAACAUAUGUGUAAGUAACUGUGCACAUCUUGACGGUAUCUAAUCAGAAAGCCACGGCUAACUACGUGCCAGCAGCCGCGGUAAUACGUAGGUGGCAAGCGUUAUCCGGAAUUAUUGGGCGUAAAGCGCGCGUAGGCGGUUUUUUAAGUCUGAUGUGAAAGCCCACGGCUCAACCGUGGAGGGUCAUUGGAAACUGGAAAACUUGAGUGCAGAAGAGGAAAGUGGAAUUCCAUGUGUAGCGGUGAAAUGCGCAGAGAUAUGGAGGAACACCAGUGGCGAAGGCGACUUUCUGGUCUGUAACUGACGCUGAUGUGCGAAAGCGUGGGGAUCAAACAGGAUUAGAUACCCUGGUAGUCCACGCCGUAAACGAUGAGUGCUAAGUGUUAGGGGGUUUCCGCCCCUUAGUGCUGCAGCUAACGCAUUAAGCACUCCGCCUGGGGAGUACGACCGCAAGGUUGAAACUCAAAGGAAUUGACGGGGACCCGCACAAGCGGUGGAGCAUGUGGUUUAAUUCGAAGCAACGCGAAGAACCUUACCAAAUCUUGACAUCCUUUGACAACUCUAGAGAUAGAGCUUUCCCCUUCGGGGGACAAAGUGACAGGUGGUGCAUGGUUGUCGUCAGCUCGUGUCGUGAGAUGUUGGGUUAAGUCCCGCAACGAGCGCAACCCUUAAGCUUAGUUGCCAUCAUUAAGUUGGGCACUCUAAGUUGACUGCCGGUGACAAACCGGAGGAAGGUGGGGAUGACGUCAAAUCAUCAUGCCCCUUAUGAUUUGGGCUACACACGUGCUACAAUGGACAAUACAAAGGGCAGCGAAACCGCGAGGUCAAGCAAAUCCCAUAAAGUUGUUCUCAGUUCGGAUUGUAGUCUGCAACUCGACUACAUGAAGCUGGAAUCGCUAGUAAUCGUAGAUCAGCAUGCUACGGUGAAUACGUUCCCGGGUCUUGUACACACCGCCCGUCACACCACGAGAGUUUGUAACACCCGAAGCCGGUGGAGUAACCUUUUAGGAGCUAGCCGUCGAAGGUGGGACAAAUGAUUGGGGUGAAGUCGUAACAAGGUAGCCGUAUCGGAAGGUGCGGCUGGAUCACCUCCUUU